GGAGAUGGGUCGGGUGGUCCGUAUGAAAGAAUCUCCUUCAUUUUCUCCCGAUAGGAGACCAGGUUCUGGAAUGAAGAAUGAUACAAACUUUUCAAACGUCUCCAUAUCCUCAGUACCUCAUUGUGGGGAAGGUUGUAUUUGGAGAUCAGAUUUGAUUGUAAGUUUUGGUGUAUGGUGCAUUCACCGAAUUUUGGAUCUCUCACUUAUGGAAAGUCGGCCAGAACUAUGGGGAAAAUAUACUUAUGUACUCA
rnacentral:misc_RNA from 1 species